rnacentral:rRNA from 1 species
AGCGAACGCUGGCGGCGUGCCUAACACAUGCAAGUCGAACGAGAAAGGGAGCAAUCCCAAGUAAAGUGGCGCACGGGUGAGUAACACGUAGGUAAUCUACCCUAAAGUCUGGAAUAACCUGCCGAAAGGCGGGCUAAUACGGGAUAGAGCGAGGGAUCCGUAAGGGAUCUUUCGGGAAAGGGCGGAAGCAAUUCCGCUUUCUUUAGGAUGAGCCUGCGUCUCAUUAGUUAGUUGGUAGGGUAAUGGCCUACAAAGGCGAUGAUGGGUAGCUGGUCUGAGAGGAUGAUCAGCCACACUGGAACUGAAACACGGUCCAGACUCCUACGGGAGGCAGCAGUGGGGAAUCUUGCGCAAUGGACGAAAGUCUGACGCAGCAACGCCGCGUGAGUGAAGAAGGCCUUCGGGUUGUAAAGCUCUGUCGCAUGGGACGAAAAGUCAGGAGGUUAAGAGCUACCUGAUGUGACGGUACCAUGAGAGGAAGCACCGGCUAACUCCGUGCCAGCCGCCGCCGUAA